rnacentral:rRNA from 1 species
GACGAACGCUGGCGGCGUGCUUAACACAUGCAAGUCGAGCGAUGAAGCUUCUUCGGAAAUGGAUUAGCGGCGGACGGGUGAGUAACACGUGGGUAACCUGCCUCAUAGAGGGGAAUAGCCUUCCGAAAGGAAGAUUAAUACCGCAUAAGAUUGUAAUACCGCAUGAUAUAGCAAUUAAAGGAGUAAUACCGCUAUGAGAUGGACCCGCGUCGCAUUAGCUAGUUGGUGAGGUAACGGCUCACCAAGGCGACGAUGCGUAGCCGACCUGAGAGGGUGAUCGGCCACAUUAGGACUGAGACACGGCCCAGACUCCUACGGGAGGCAGCAGUGGGGAAUAUUGCACAAUGGGGGAAACCCUGAUGCAGCAACGCCGCGUGAGUGAUGACGGUCUUCGGAUUGUAAAGCUCUGUCUUUAGGGACGAUAAUGACGGUACCUAAGGAGGAAGCCACGGCUAACUACGUGCCAGCCGCCGCCGUAA